rnacentral:rRNA from 1 species
ACUCAAAGGAAUUGACGGGGGCUCACACAAGCGGUGGAGCAUGUGGCUUAAUUCGAAGCAACGCGCAGAACCUUACCAGGGCUUGACAUGUACGGAUUAGUGGGGUGAAAGCCUCAUGACGCUCGCAAGAGUGGAACGUACACAGGUGCUGCAUGGCUGUCGUCAGCUCGUGCUGUGAAGUGUCGCGUUAAGUCGCUUAACGAGCGAAACCCUUAUCCUUAGUUGCCAGCGGGUCAUGCCGGGAACUCUAGGGAGACUGCCGGUGUUAAACCGGAGGAAGGUGGGGAUGACGUCAAGUCCUCAUGGCCUUUAUGCCCUGGGUUGCACACGUGCUACAAUGGCGUAUACAAAGCGACGCAAGCCAGCGAUGGCAAGCAAAUCGCCUAAAGUACGCCCCAGUUCAGAUCGCAGGCUGCAACCCGCCUGCGUGAAGUUGGAAUCGCUAGUAAUCGCGGAUCAGCUACGCCGCGGUGAAUAUGUUCCUGAGCCUUGUACACACCGCCCGU